AAUUUGUUUUACAGAUUACUGUUACACGUGAUUUUAUGCUCUUUUAAACAUUUAUAAAUGUGCUGCUUCUUUGUUUUUUACAUAGCCACGCAGUUUAGAGCUCACAGCCGCAGUGUGUCUGGUGACCCACAGAGACCAUGAUGGAAAUUCAUCUUCCAGAAAGUCCCAGAGCAGCGUCCACACCGCUGAAAAGACCAAGAUGUGAGGUGUCUGCUGUUGAUUCCAGCUUCCACCUCAGUGACAGUGCAAGCUCAGUGAACUGUUCAAGGUAAAAAAAAUUAAAACAUUUCAGAAUUUUUAAGAUAUUAACAAUUAAAUAAGUAUGUGAUUACAUCAUGACAUCAUGGAGGCUACUGAUCCUGCCCCUGUGACACGUGGUGGUGACAUGUGAGAUGAUUCACCUGAUAAAUAACUUUUACAUUAAAUAUUUUGUUCUUUGCUAUCAAAAGUAAAUUAACUAAUAACCUGCAUUAUUGCAGGACACUCAUCAAAAUAUGGACUCUACACCAUGAGGCAGGCACACGUUAAUAACUCUAUAAGAGCACAUAAGCCUGGCUGAUCACCUGAUAACUCCUGUCAUCUGGUUAUGACAGCAUGAGGAUGUCCUCACACACCUGUAACCUAUCAGCUCAUCUGGCAGAAUAGAGAGAGAAGAGACAACACCACAUCUCCUGUUCCUGGAAAGCCUUCAGCCAUCCUUUGAUGACUGAGAACCUCCAUCAGCUCUGUCUCCUGUCUGCCUACAAUUAUUAUAAUAAAUAUUGUGUUUGACAAGUU